GCCUCAGAAAGUGAAAGAUUAAAGUCAUUGAACGCACUAUAGUCGGAGACACAUGCUCGCAAAACAUGCCACCAAACCUAUGCGGCAUCCCUGAACUGGUAUCGAAGAAGAUAAAAAAAAUUAGAAAACAAGUCACAAGAACCAUGGACUCCACAAAGUAAGCGUGUACGCAUGCUUGUCAUGCAAAAAAACACACACACGAUGUCUCGAGUGAAAAUCACUUGGAUAAAUCUAUAAUCUAUAUAAAGUUGAUCGCCACUUCUCGCAA
rnacentral:lncRNA from 1 species